GAUUUCUUUUUCUUUAUGCCGACAGACUGAAAAGACGCUACAUCGAGCUGCAUCAAAACCGAGAAUCUUUUUCUCUCUUUAAAAAUACAAAAAGACAAAAAAGAGAAAGAAGGAUCACGUUAAAUCUUCAGCUCUUUACACCUUGUUAACGAUCUGCCGAAAUUAACGAGGUGCUUUAAAGCGGAUUAAGGACAAACUUUAGACGGACAUGUCGGACACGCCGAUUAAGCCUUCGCACAUUUUCAGUCUGUCUCUGAUUUGAGAGCUCUGUGCUUCAGCAGGACGUGAGACACCAGCAGCGUCUAUGUUAGUGAAGAGAGGCUCAAUCAAACACGGUUCGGAUCCCGGGUUGAAGAUGCCGCGUGGGAGGUGCUGGAUGAGGCCGAUGCGCUGAGCGAUCCGUACCUGCUCCUCCUCCGUCAGCUGGGUGGCCAGACGGGUCUGACUGGGUGUGGGGUGGUACACAGGCACCUGCACACGCUCCUGCAUGUCACACACACACACACACACACACAUUACUGUACAGGUAAAGGUUUAAAUCUAACUAUUUAAAACAGGAAUGUUUCAGAAAUGUACAGACUGUGCAAAAGUAAAGGAUAAAAAAUAAAUCCAGAAAGUCAAAAACUCUUCCCCGUUUACAUGAGCACUAAAUUGACUGGCAUUCAGACAGCGCUCUUCGCUCCCCAAAUUCCACAGUUGAUCUUGUUGCUUGGUAAUGGAGGCUACAGAAACAUUAGCCUGCCAGGAUUAAAGGUCUCUCACAGAGUCUAAGCCUCUGCAAAUGCCAAGCAGAGCAGAGCGGAACCUUACUUUCUAAUUAUACGGAGCGGAAAACACUAGCUGACCUCGUUAUUCACAACCUACACGAGAAUCUCACGUAUUAUAAAAAAAAAAUAAAAAAUAGAAUUUUGUAUAACAGUGUGUAUAUACAGUGUGUGUGUGUGUGUGUGGACUGUGUGUGUGUAUGUGUGUGUGUUUGGACUGUGUGUGUGUGGUGAGUGUGUGUGAGUGUAUGGACUGUUUGUGUGUAUGGUGUGUGUGUGUAUGUGUAUAGACUGUGUGUGUGUAUGGUGAGAGUGUGUGUGUGUGUAUGGUGAGUGUAUGUGUGUGUAUAUAGACUGUGUGUGUGUAUGGUGAGUGUGUGUGUGUUGUAUAGACUGUGUGUGUGUAUGGUGAGUGUGUGUGUGAGUGUAUGGACUGUGUGUGUAUGGUGAGUGUGUGUGUAUGGGCUGUGUGUGUAUAGACUGUGUGUGUGUGUGGGUUGUAUAGACUGUGUGUGUGUGUAUGGUGAGUGUGUGUGUUGUAUAGACUGUGUGUGUAUGUGUAUAGACUGUGUGUGUAUGGUGAGUGUGUGUGUUGUAUAGACUGUGUGUGUAUAGACUGUGUGUGUAUAUGGUGAGUGUGUGUGUAUAGACUGUUUGUGUUUGUGUAUGGUGAGUGUGUAUGUAUGUGUGUGUGGUGAGUGUGUGUGUGUAUAGACUGUGUAUGUGUGUGUGUUGUAUAGACUGUGUGCGUGAGUGUAUGGAGAGCGUGUGUGUGUAGAAUGUGUGGGUGUGUAUAGACUGUGUGUGUGUAUGGCAUGUGUGUGUGUGUGUGUGUAUGGACUGUGUGCAUGUGGACUGUGUGUGUAUGGUGUGUGUGUGUAUGGAGUGUGUGUGUGUGUGUGUGUGUGUGUAUGGACUGUGUGCGUGUGUACUGUGUGUGUAUGGACUGUGCGUGUGGACUGUGUGUGUAUUGACUGUGUGUGUAUGGUGUGUGUGUGUGUGUGUGUGUGUGUAUGGACUGUGUGUGUGUACCUGAUAGGGAGGUGGAGGUUCUCCUGGUAAACUCGCUCCCUCAGACUCAUUAAGAGGUGACAGAUCAUCAGCACUCUGAGAGCUGAGACAGUUCCCCAUCGAGCCGAACAGCAGGUGAUAAAUAAACUCUGGAUAAGACACAA